rnacentral:rRNA from 1 species
GACGAACGCUGGCGGCGUGCCUAACACAUGCAAGUCGAACGGAAAGGCCCUGCUUUUGUGGGGUGCUCGAGUGGCGAACGGGUGAGUAACACGUGAGUAACCUGCCCUUGACUUUGGGAUAACUUCAGGAAACUGGGGCUAAUACCGGAUAGGAGCUCCUGCUGCAUGGUGGGGGUUGGAAAGUUUCGGCGGUUGGGGAUGGACUCGCGGCUUAUCAGCUUGUUGGUGGGGUAGUGGCUUACCAAGGCUUUGACGGGUAGCCGGCCUGAGAGGGUGACCGGCCACAUUGGGACUGAGAUACGGCCCAGACUCCUACGGGAGGCAGCAGUGGGGAAUAUUGCACAAUGGGCGGAAGCCUGAUGCAGCAACGCCGCGUGCGGGAUGACGGCCUUCGGGUUGUAAACCGCUUUCGCCUGUGACGAAGCGUGAGUGACGGUAAUGGGUAAAGAGGCACCGGCUAACUACGUG